GAUGAACGCUGGCGGCGUGCCUAAUACAUGCAAGUCGAGCGAACAGGUGAUGCGCUUGUUCCUCUCACGUUAGCGGCACACGUGUGUGUAACGCGUGGAUAACCUACCUAUAUGUCUGGGAUAUCUUCGGGAAACCGGCGCUAAUACCGGAUAAUCUAUUGAACCGCAUGGUUCGAUAGUGAAAGACGGUUUUUCUGUCACUUCUAGAUGGAUCCGCGCCGCAUUAGCUAGUUGUUAAGGUCACGGCUUACCAAGGCGACGAUGCGUAGCCGACGGGUGAGGGUGAUCGGCCACCUGAGAAGUGAGACACGCACAAUACGACUACGAGAGGGAGCAGAAGCGAACCGGAGGCAACGGGGGAGAGUAUUACGGAGUAAGGGGGCGCGAGUGACGACGACCCUGGGUGCGUAAAAACCGGUUAUUAGUGAAAAACCACUUUGGCCGUAGCUAAGCACGGCGUGACGGUACCGAAUCAGAAAGCACCGGCUAACUACGUG
rnacentral:rRNA from 1 species